CUACGUGCCAGCAGCCGCGGUAAUACGGAGGGUGCGAGCGUUAAUCGGAAUAACUGGGCGUAAAGGGCACGCAGGCGGUUAUUUAAGUGAGGUGUGAAAGCCCCGGGCUUAACCUGGGAAUUGCAUUUCAGACUGGGUAACUAGAGUACUUUAGGGAGGGGUAGAAUUCCACGUGUAGCGGUGAAAUGCGUAGAGAUGUGGAGGAAUACCGAAGGCGAAGGCAGCCCCUUGGGAAUGUACUGACGCUCAUGUGCGAAAGCGUGGGGAGCAAACAGGAUUAGAUACCCUGGUAGUCCACGCUGUAAACGCUGUCGAUUUGGGGAUUGGGCUUAGAGCUUGGUGCCCGUAGCUAACGUGAUAAAUCGACCGCCUGGGGAGUACGGCCGCAAGGUUAAAACUCAAAUGAAUUGACGGGGGCCCGCACAAGCGGUGGAGCAUGUGGUUUAAUUCGAUGCAACGCGAAGAACCUUACCUACUCUUGACAUCCAGA
rnacentral:rRNA from 1 species